UGUGUUUGUGUUUUCUCUAAUGGGCCUCAGAUGACUGUUUGCUUAAAUUUGGGUCUCAAAGAAUCUUUUUUUAAUUCUGCCUGUACUCUCCACCCCUCUUCUUCUGUUGCUCAGGUUGAAGCAGAAUUUGCCCGUCUUACAUCUGUUGACCUGAAAGGGUUCCUUUUUGCUGUGCUUGACCAUUAUGGAGAGGUUCGUGGAGCUGUACAAAAUCAAGAGCGGCAUAGAAGGGCUAACUAGGCUCAUAAAAUGCUUCGGAGAUGAUAGCCCUACACAAAGGAAGAGGACAGAGGACCUCAUUUUCUAAAGGAAGAUCCCUCACACACUUUCAAGACUGUGAAGCCGACAGGUAUUGAAGACACGUUUUCUAAGAGGAUGAAAGUUGGCAUUGCGAUGGUGAAAGAAGAAGACAUCGAUGUGUUGGUUGUCCUUGAGGCAGCAGUAAUCCUGUCUAAUCUGAGGGAUGUCUCAAGUGCCAUUUCCAUGCUGAUGGGCCUUCUUUUUGCCCUCAACAUACACUAUCCAAAGGAA